UACGUAGGGUGCAAGCGUUGUCCGGAAUUAUUGGGCGUAAAGAGCUCGUAGGCGGUCCGUCGCGUCUGCCGUGAAAACCCGGGGCUCAACCCCGGGCCUGCGGUGGAUACGGGCGGACUAGAGUCCGGUAGGGGAGACUGGAAUUCCUGGUGUAGCGGUGAAAUGCGCAGAUAUCAGGAGGAACACCGAUGGCGAAGGCAGAUCUCUGGGCCGGUACUGACGCUGAGGAGCGAAAGCGUGGGGAGCGAACAGG
rnacentral:rRNA from 1 species